CUUGUGCCGGCGACCGGCGGACGGGUGCGUAACGCGUAUGUAACCUACCUUUGACAGGGGGAUAACAUCGAGAAAUUGGUACUAAUACCCCAUAACAUCACCGGAGGCAUCUUCGGUGGUUGAAAACUCAGGUGGUCAGAGAUGGACAUGCGUUGUAUUAGCUAGUUGGUGAGGUAACGGCUCACCAAGGCGACGAUACAUAGGGGGACUGAGAGGUCAACCCCCCACAUUGGUACUGAGACACGGACCAAACUCCUACGGGAGGCAGCAG
rnacentral:rRNA from 1 species